CGGAAAUACGUCACCUCCACUGUCUAUGACGCACCUCCACUCCGCCCCUACAGUGGUGGCUGCCUGACAGACAGGGCUGGACAUUGAGGGCCUCCCACAGCAACAUUUUGGUGUUGACUGUGGAAUUUUCAUGAUCAUGUAUGCUUGGUACAUAAGCCCUGG